CCUAACACAUGCAAGUCGAACGGUAACAGGAAACAGCUUGCUGUUUCGCUGACGAGUGGCGGACGGGUGAGUAAUGUCUGGGAAACUGCCUGAUGGAGGGGGAUAACUACUGGAAACGGUAGCUAAUACCGCAUAACGUCGCAAGACCAAAGAGGGGGACCCUCGGGCCUCUUGCCAUCGGAUGUGCCCAGAUGGGAUUAGCUUGUUGGUGGGGUAACGGCUCACCAAGGCGACGAUCCCUAGCUGGUCUGAGAGGAUGACCAGCCACACUGGAACUGAGACACGGUCCAGACUCCUACGGGAGGCAGCAGUGGGGAAUAUUGCACAAUGGGCGCAAGCCUGAUGCAGCCAUGCCGCGUGUAUGAAGAAGGCCUUCGGGUUGUAAAGACC
rnacentral:rRNA from 1 species